rnacentral:rRNA from 1 species
UGGCGAAAGCCGGACUAAUACCGCAUACGACCUACGGGUGAAAGCGGGGGAUCGCAAGACCUCGCGCUAUUGGAGCGGCCGAUGUCAGAUUAGCUAGUUGGUGGGGUAAAAGCCUACCAAGGCGACGAUCUGUAGCUGGUCUGAGAGGACGACCAGCCACACUGGGACUGAGACACGGCCCAGACUCCUACGGGAGGCAGCAGUGGGGAAUUUUGGACAAUGGGGGCAACCCUGAUCCAGCCAUGCCGCGUGCGGGAAGAAGGCCUUCGGGUUGUAAACCGCUUUUGUCAGGGAAGAAAUGGUCUGCGCUAAUACCGCGGACUAAUGACGGUACCUGAGGAAUAAGCACCGGCUAACUACGUGCCAGCAGCCGCGGUAAUACGUAGGGUGCAAGCGUUAAUCGGAAUUACUGGGCGUAAAGCGUGCGCAGGCGGCUUUGCAAGACAGAUGUGAAAUCCCCGGGCUCAACCUGGGAACUGCAUUUGUGACUGCAUGGCUGGAGUGCGGCAGAGGGGGAUGGAAUUCCGCGUGUAGCAGUGAAAUGCGUAGAUAUGCGGAGGAACACCGAUGGCGAAGGCAAUCCCCUGGGCCUGCACUGACGCUCAUGCACGAAAGCGUGGGGAGCAAACAGGAUUAGAUACCCUGGUAGUCCACGCCCUAAACGAUGUCAACUGGUUGUUGGACGGCUUGCUGUUCAGUAACGAAGCUAACGCGUGAAGUUGACCGCCUGGGGAGUACGGCCGCAAGGUUGAGACUCAAAGGAAUUGACGGGGACCCGCACAAGCGGUGGAUGAUGUGGUUUAAUUCGAUGCAACGCGAAAAACCUUACCUACCCUUGACAUGUCUAGAAGUUUCCAGAGAUGGAUUCGUGCUCGAAAGAGAACUAGAACACAGGUGCUGCACGGCCGUCGUCAGCUCGUGUCGUGAGAUGUUGGGUUAAGUCCCGCAACGAGCGCAACCCUUAUCAUUAGUUGCUACGCAAGGGCACUCUAAUGAGACUGCCGGUGACAAACCGGAGGAAGGUGGGGAUGACGUCAGGUCAUCAUGGCCCUUAUGGGUAGGGCUACACACGUCAUACAAUGGCCGGUACAGAGGGCUGCCAACCCGCGAGGGGGAGCUAAUCUCAGAAAACCGGUCGUAGUCCGGAUCGCAGUCUGCAACUCGACUGCGUGAAGUCGGAAUCGCUAGUAAUCGCGGAUCAGCUUGCCGCGGUGAAUACGUUCCCGGGUCUUGUACACACCGCCCGUCACACCAUGGGAGCGGGUUCUGCCAGAAGUAGUUAGCCUAACCGCAAGGAGGGCGAUUACCACGGCAGGGUUCGUGACUGGGGUGAAGUCGUAACAAGGUA